rnacentral:rRNA from 1 species
GACGUAGGGGACGAGCGUUGUCCGGAUUCAUUGGGCGUAAAGCGCGCGUAGGCGGUUGCGCAAGUCGGUUGUGAAAAUCCGGGGCUCAACCCCGGACCUGCAUCCGAUACUGCGUGACUAGAGGUAGGUAGGGGAGAUCGGAAUUCCUGGUGUAGCGGUGAAAUGCGCAGAUAUCAGGAGGAACACCGGUGGCGAAGGCGGAUCUCUGGGCCUUACCUGACGCUCAGGUGCGAAAGCUAGGGGAGCGAACAGG